rnacentral:rRNA from 1 species
AACGAACGCUGGCGGCAUGCCUAACACAUGCAAGUCGAACGGGAUCCUGACUUCGGUUGGGUGAGAGUGGCGGACGGGUGAGUAACGCGUGGGAACCUGCCCAGUGGUGGGGGGAUAACUGCGGGAAACUGCAGCUAAUACCGCAUGAGCCCGAGAGGGGAAAGAUUUAUCGCCAUUGGAGGGGCCCGCGUUCGAUUAGGUAGUUGGUGAGGUAACGGCUCACCAAGCCUUCGAUCGAUAGCUGGUCUGAGAGGAUGAUCAGCCACACUGGGACUGAGAUACGGCCCAGACUCCUACGGGAGGCAGCAGUGGGGAAUAUUGGACAAUGGGGGCAACCCUGAUCCAGCAAUGCCGCGUGAGUGAUGAAGGCCUCGGUGUAAGCUCUUUGUCCAGGGACGAUGAUGACGGUACCUGGAGAAUAAGCCCGGCUAACUUCGUGCCAGCAGCCGCGGUAAU